GGAUGUGGCUCAGUGGUAGAGUGCUUGCCUGGCAUGCAUGAGUUCCUGGGUUCAAUCCUCAGCACCA
rnacentral:tRNA from 1 species